UUUAUUAUUUACAUAAUAAAUAAUAAUAAAUUCUAAAUUCCUAAUAAAUAAUAAAUUCCGGUUUGUCAGACAAACCGGAAUUUGUCAGACAAAUGAGAUUUAAACAAGCUAAAUGAUUCCCUUUGUAUAUACAUGUAUAAAAUUCCCACUGUGGACAAAAAUAAAACUCAGCGUCAGUAAAAGUUGAUUGUCUGAAUUUCGACACAACGCUCUGCAGAACGUCUGAAUAUUCAGAAUCAGAAUCAAGUUUAAUCGCCAAGUAGGUUUGCACUUACAAGGAAUUUGACUUGGUGUUGAUGGUGCAGACAAAAAUCGGGAAGUCUUACAAAAACUGCAAUCUUUGUAUCAGCUGACCAUCACACUUUCCUUCAGAAGGUGUUUAUCUUCUCCAUGUGGGCAGCUCCAGAUUUCAGUCGCCUUUGUUAGCAAGGCUUUGAAACUGGAUUUAAUCAACAGAUUUAUUUGCUGGAAAAUCCACAAUAAGUCAAAACUGAUUAUUAUUUUUUAAAUUAACUGAAGUCCUAUGUUUUAUAUUGACUCCACUCUGGAAAAACUGUGACAGUAAUGAGUAGAUGUAAACUUUUGACUGCAACAGUAUAAACUUGUUUCAUCAACUGUAUUUCUACUGUAGAUGGCGAGGAAGUCACCAGUGGAAAGGUCUGCCAGAACUUGGACUUCUGUGUUGGAAGAAAAACUCUUCUCAUAAUUUCUAUAUUUUUAUAAUUUGACAGAUCUGACCAGUGUACGAGGUAGUAAGGAAUCCCUUGAGGAUUUCUAAGCUGAUGACCAAGAGACCCAUGAUGAAAUUGAGAAUUGAUCAGUAGAGCCAAGUGGUCCAGAAACAUCUGAAGAAGGUUCUGCAGUCUAGGACCAAAGCUGAAACAGUCUUCAUCCGUGUGAGGAACUGCUGUGGACCGGUCCUCUCUGGGAAGACGUGACGGACCUCAGAGCUGUUUAACCUGCAGCUAUCUAGUAUUUAUUAGAUGAGCUGAUGUUUCAGAUAUUUGUGCAGAACUGACAGCAACGAUCUUCUGCAGAGGGACAUUUGUCUCCAUCUCAGCAGCAAGUUGAGGAAGCAGUGAAACAUCUGCUGUCAGGAGAGAUGAACAUGACUGCAUGAACGGAAAUACUAAAUGACCAAAGAUGCCUGACUCUAAUCGUGUCUCUGCAGAAAUGUUUCUUUUAGCUUUUUUAAAACACAACAACAGUAAAUUAUAAGGUUUAUCUCAUCAAAUCUUUCUCAUUAUGAGUUGGAUAAACUGUUUGUCAAUCAGUGGAUCAGCAGCAACAAACUUUUAUCAGAAACCUUUGCACAAAGCAAGUUAAUCAUGUAAAUAUAAACUUGUUCUGUGGUUUUAUUGCUGUAAUGUUUUUGUCUUUAUAUUGUUGUACAUAUUUGUGUGUUUGAGUCUUAAAGCAUAUUUUCAUAUUAGAAACACCCUGAGCUCAGUGUUUCUCAACUUUUAUUUGGGAUAUUAUUUAGAAAUCAGGACAACAUCAAGUUUAAGGUUCUAUAUCCUAAUGUGUUGCUGCUGGAUAUUGGGGAAUUUUUUUUUAUUCUGGAGAAUUUAAACUUUUAAUGGUGCCAGAUGAUCUGAGAGACUUGAAUUCCUGCAGUAGAUGCAACAUAUGCCCAGAGGUUUACUUUAUAUCUUAAACUGCAUCUUUUUCUCCCUAAAGACCAACAUACUAAAGAGAAAGAUACACUUGCAUUGGAGGACGGAUAAAGGUUUAAUAUAACUGUGAAACUGAAGACUAUCUGAGCUGUGAUUUAAAAGUGUGAGCGUUUUUGGUUGACAUGUGGCAGCUGAAUUCGCUGUAUCCCCACCAGGGGGCAGAAGAGACCACUUGUUACAACGUUGAAGUUUGUGUUUGGCAUGAAAAAUGAGAAAUAAAUGUUUGUAUGAA